GAGACCUGAUCCAAUGGCCGCCUGAAGCAAUGGUGUCGUUCGUGAAACGCAGCCCUAUCGUUGGUCCUAAGCUGACAAAUUGGUCUGUGGACGCCAAACUUCAGUGCUAGGACUUUCUGCGUGUGGACAGGGGGCCUGGUCCUGCGUGGGUCCAAGACAGACAGGAGAAAGCUGCCUGCUUUUGUGCCUCCCGGAGGCCCUGGUGGAAGCGAAACGGGGGCAGGAGCUGCACUGUCCCAAGCCCAGUGAGGCGAAGCUACCGGAGACAGCUCCGCCGGAUCCAAAGUUGGGCUUACCGGCUGGAACUUGAAACCCGGGCAUGUCGGACUCCUGCUGAAGCCAUCAUUCCUCUCUCCUGGCCCUGGGCGCCUUCGCCGGCGGGGACAACUGGUUUCGGGGCCAAGGUGGUCUGGGAGCCUGACGGUGACUUCUGGCCUGGGUUCCCACGAGCGGAAAGGGUUCCCCUCCCGUGAGAGGGAAACUAUGGAAGUUCCUACGCCUGGAGCCAGAACUCCUGCUGCUACCGCCCGACUCAAGGUUUAGUCUGGCGGCCUCCCACCUGUGCUUCUGAGAGUUCUGCUUCCAAGAGGCUGCUGGUGCCCGGGACACCCGCAGGCUGCUCUUAGAGUUUCGCCAUGGGUGACUUCGGCCUGAGAUGCGCUCCAUGGAGCAGAUUCUGGAGUUGCUGGUGCUGGAACAGUUCCUGACUAUCCUGUCCCAGGACAUCCACAGCAGGGUGCAGAAGCUGCAACAGGCGAGCUGUGAAGAAGCUGUAACUCUUUUAAAGUAUAUGUAUGACUUUUAAAAGAUAGAGCUUGUGAAAGUGAGGGAAUAGAGGUCCACAGACCUCGACCCUGGAAGAGUGAGUCGGAGUCAGGUCUUCGAGAGGUGGAGGGAUCGAAUGAGGGAACUGAUAUUCCAAGACUCCCCAAAUCUUGGAGCUUCACUCGCCAGGCAUCCCGCGCUUUCCUGACAUUCGCGCAGCAGCGGAGAGCUUUGCUACCCAGAGCAGGGAGGCGUGGCCACAGAGGCGCAGUCGAGCGGAGGAAGAGGAAAGUGGCCUCCGGGGAAGCCAGAGCUGACUGAAGGUAACCGAGAAGCUGAUUUUCUCUUUAGAUUUGACUGGCGAUCCCCUGAGAAAUACCGGCCGCUCCUGCCAGUUGCAGCCUUUGGGUCUGCUGUGUAGCGAGGAAUGGGGGUGGGGGACGUGAUACAGUAUUUUUCAGUAGGCAGUGGCGCCACUGACAGGCGGCAGAUCGGCUGGAGAGCUGGUGGGACUUGUCCACAGCGAGGCCGCCUGACCGCGGGCUCCUACAGCCACUUCUUACCUACGGAAGCAACUUCUUUCUACCGGAUGUACAAAUAUAACCCAGGGAUGCUAUGAAUCAGGGAUGGGGAUUUGGGGCAGUAAUGUCUACCACCACACCCAGCGAAACUUCCUGAUUUUUGAUGGCUUAUGAACAUAACACUAAAGAAAGAGUCAUUUCAACAUUAAAGACGAUGGCUUCUGCUGACAUACACACACACACACACACACACACACACACACACGAAGUGUUCCUGUACCUCCUGAGCCUGAAUGGUCAGCAAGGAGCCAACCAUUAUUUUGAAUACCUGUGGCAUCCUUGAAAGAAUUUUGUUGCUAUUUCUUCUGGAUCACCUCGGGAAAAUCAGUUUUGAGGACAUGUUAAGUCAGGAGAAAGGUUGCCAUUACUAGGACCCUUCCCGUCUAUGAAGAACCUUAAUCAUCACCAUCUCUCUUUCGUUUUUGUUUUUAACCACCUGACAUUUGUAUAUGUGUAAAGGAAGGCCAUCUGUAAAGUUUUCCAGUUAAAGUAAACAAAAGAUUUAAUACACAAGUACAAACCUGUGCAGUGCCCUUUAUAAGUCUUUCAAAGAAGUACUACACCUUGCCACAUCAAAUGUUGAUGAUCUGCUUGCUUAGCGGGGGGACAUUUGCUUACUUUUUCUCUAGUUACUUCUACUCUGAUCUUGCUGUCUCAGUUCUCCUACCAGCAUUGAUACAGUAUAAAAGGAAAUAUUAAGAGUUCCAUUUAGUAAAGUCUUCAGUCUAAGUGAGAUGAAGGGGUAUAGAAACUAUUUUUCCUCUGACUAAAGAAAAAUGAUUGGGAUGAUCUGUUAAAGUUUCGAGAAACUCAAAUAGGCCCUAUUUGCCAAUAUAGGACAGGAAACCCACAGAUUAAGUAUUGGAUAAUCUCAAAGUUCAUUUUGGCCAAUUGGUGCCAGUUUUCUCACCCACCAAUCUUUCCUCAACUGUUAAAAAAAAAAAAAAAAAAAAAAA
ensembl:lncRNA